AUUGAACGCUGGCGGCAGGCCUAACACAUGCAAGUCGAACGGUAACAGGAAGCAGCUUGCUGCUUUGCUGACGAGUGGCGGACGGGUGAGUAAUGUCUGGGAAACUGCCUGAUGGAGGGGGAUAACUACUGGAAACGGUAGCUAAUACCGCAUAACGUCGCAAGACCAAAGAGGGGGACCUUCGGGCCUCUUGCCAUCGGAUGUGCCCAGAUGGGAUUAGCUAGUAGGUGGGGUAACGGCUCACCUAGGCGACGAUCCCUAGCUGGUCUGAGAGGAUGACCAGCCACACUGGAACUGAGACACGGUCCAGACUCCUACGGGAGGCAGCAGUGGGGAAUAUUGCACGAUGGGCGCAAGCCUGAUGCAGCCAUGCCGCGUGUAUGAAGAAGGCCUUCGGGUUGUAAAGUACUUUCAGCGGGGAGGAAGGGAGUAAAGUUAAUACCUUUGCUCAUUGACGUUACCCGCAGAAGAAGCACCGGCUAACUCCG
rnacentral:rRNA from 1 species